AACAUCGCGCACCUGCGGGAACCUGCGGAGGGAUCAUUACCGAGUUUACAACUCCCAAACCCCUGUGAACAUACCUAUACGUUGCCUCGGCGGAUCAGCCCGCGCCCUGUAAAACGGGACGGCCCGCCCGAGGACCCUAAACUCUGUUUUUAGUGGAACUUCUGAGUAAAACAAACAAAUAAAUCAAAACUUUCAGCAACGGAUCU
rnacentral:misc_RNA from 1 species